CUGAAAUAUAAGCUUCUUAUUCCUGGUUUGUGAUAUCUUCAAUAAAUUUAAGUUGCUAUGGGACUUGUAGGCCUUGUCUGUUGGAAUAUUUCCAUACGUUUUGAAGCUGUUGCAAACAACGACGCCAGAACUAAGGCAAAUUCUUGUCUUCAUAUGGACAAAAAUUUUGGCACUUGAUAAGUCGUGCCAGGUUGAUCUUGUUAAGGAUGGUGGACAUGCAUAUUUUAUCAGGUUUCUUGAUAGCAUGGAAGCAUAUCCAGAACAGCGAGCAAUGGCUGCAUUUGUUUUGGCUGUUAUUGUUGAUGGGCACAGAAGGGGUCAAGAAGCUUGUAUUGAAGCUGGUGUAGUCCAAGUGUGCUUGAAACACCUUCAGUGUUCAAUGCCAAAUGAUGGUCAAAAUGAGCCUUUAUUUCUUCAAUGGCUUUGCCUUUGUCUGGGAAAGUUGUGGGAGGAUUUCACAGAGGCUCAAAUUAUAGGCUUGCAGGCAGAUGCGCCAGCUAUAUAUGUUCCUUUACUCUCUGAGCCCCAGCCUGAGGUUAGGGCUUCUGCUGUCUUCGCAUUAGGUACUUUGCUUGA
rnacentral:misc_RNA from 1 species